rnacentral:rRNA from 1 species
UACGGGGGGGGUAAGCGUUGUUCGGAAUUACUGGGCGUAAAGGGCUCGUAGGCGGCCAACUAAGUCAUACGUGAAAUCCCUCAGCUUAACCGAGGAACUGCCUGUCAGACUGCAUUGCUUGAGUCCGGGAGAGGUGAGUGGAAUUCCCAGUGUAGCGGUGAAAUGCGUAGAUAUCAGGAGGAACACCAAUGGCGAAGGCAGCUCGCUGGGACGUGACUGACGCUGAGACGCGAAAGCGUGGGGAGCAAACAGG